AGCAUUUUUAUGUAAGUAUGUAGUUGAGCCAUCUCCGUCUAAACAAAAACAAAAGUUAACAAUUAUACUACAAUUACAACAUGAAUGGCAUGGACCUGUUGAUUGUUACACCGAGUUUCCAGGGUGAAUACAAACCCACUAUCAACUUGGCCUUAUAUAUAUAACUUAAAUAUCUUGUUGGUGUGAUGAAUGUUUUUUCUGUGAUUAAUUAAGAAUUUGAUAAUGUUCGCCCGCCCUAUUUUUCUUCCAGUAUCCCCUAGCCACGAGUCUCGGCAUCAGUGCUGAUACUAAUUAAAGUAAGGAUAGUAUACUGUAUUGCCAACAUGCUGGAUAUAACUUGUUGCAAUGUCAUCUGUUGCACACAUGUCUAACAUGCUAAAAUAAAUAUAUAUAAAAACUUAAAAUUGACUAAACUAAUAAGAAAAGAUGUAAAAGUAUUCUCAUUUUGCAUUUAAGAAAAAAUAAAACCUAAGAAAUAUAUAAAAAGAGAAAACAUGACUGAAUUGAUGAUGUGGCAUGAUUUGGAUUGAUAGAUAAUGUAAGAAAGUAAAUGAAUACAUGCAUGGGUUCAAAACAAAAUGCAUGCAUGACUUAAUGAGGUGACAUGUAUGAUUUGCGUGUGCUGGACAUGAUGAGGUGGCAUGCUUGCAUGUUAAGAUAAAUCAUGUAGUCGGAUCUCAUAUUUAGGUAUAGAAGAUACAUGACAUGCAUCUAGAUCUAGUGCGUGCAUAUAACCUAAAGAAAUACAAAAUGACCUUGUCCAGACUUAUUUUUCAAGAAACUCCGACCGAGAAGUUAGAGUGUUUUUUUUAAGGGAGUUAGAUGGUUAGGUACUUCUUACU
rnacentral:lncRNA from 1 species